UGGGGAAUAUUGCACAAUGGGGGAAACCCUGAUGCAGCGACGCCGCGUGAACGAAGAAGGUAUUCGUAUCGUAAAGUUCUGUCCUAUGGGAAGAUAAUGACAGUACCAUAGAAGAAAGCUCCGGCUAAAUACGUGCCAGCAGCCGCGGUAAUACGUAUGGAGCGAGCGUUGUCCGGAAUUAUUGGGCGUAAAGGGUACGCAGGCGGUUUAAUAAGUGGAAUGUUAAAGAUCGGGGCUCAACCCCGUAAAGCAUUGGAAACUGAUAAACUUGAGUAGUGGAGAGGAAAGUGGAAUUCCUAGUGUAGUGGUGAAAUACAUAGAUAUUAGGAGGAAUACCAGUAGCGAAGGCGACUUUCUGGACACAAACUGACGCUGAGGUACGAAAGCGUGGGGAGCAAACAGG
rnacentral:rRNA from 1 species